UCCUGCGGAUAUAUAUAUAUUAUCGGUAUGCCGACGAACGUAAAUCAUAUUUCAUUAUUUUACAGGUUUAAGAGGAUUUUCGGCGUUGAAUGACGUCUUUGGUCGGAGUCAUUAUAUGCCUGUUUAACCUGAAUCGUAUCUGUUCCAAAAUGAUGGAUUGUUUCUAGAGAAAUUAUAUAAUGGUUUUUAUAAUUUUACAAAGGUUGAACGACUCGAAAGAUUAUCACAUCCUUGAGAGCUCAGCAGCCCCGUAGCAACAAGGCCCUUUUGUAUGCGAAGAACUGUUGGGUUGCGUUCAAAGGCAUGCGGAAUAUGCCAUGGAAUUUCAAGCGGGCCCAACGGCCGGACGUUGAAUCAUGUCGGGCGUGAACGCGCGCCUCGAUCUUCGACGAAUCAUGCCCAAAAUCGACGUGAUGUGACCUCCUCUCUGAAAAUAAUGCCACACGCCGUUUUCCCGUACUUAUCGGUUGGCUUUUCGCACGAAUCGGCAAGAUCUGAGAGUAUGCGAAGGAGGAGGAUCGACAUGGGUCCAGAACGCGUUGGACGAGACGUGGACGCGACGUGAACGUCUUCGCUCACCGGGGCCGUCUCCCCCUCCUGUUCGUUGAGGAGACCUACUUUGCACAUGGCCUACUUGCGGAAGACGACGGUCACGCGAGAAGCCAACAGCAGCAGCAGCAGCAACAGCAAUGAACCGAUAUGUGUCUCUUGUAAAAGAGCAAGCUUCGAGAAUAUAAAGAUGGCAACGAGAGAGUUGUCUCUUUCUUUCUUUAUAGAGUCAGAGAAAGAAAGAAAGAAGAGAAAGAGAGAGAGAAAGAGAGAGAGACGUCGGAUGAGCUAAAUUCCUUAGUGCUUCGCAGGCUUAGACCGGUGUCUCUCAAACUCGACGAUAUCACCAAAAAUAACUUUCGAAACGAAGAUAUAGAGUUUUCUAAAUCUAAGACUUUUCCUACGAUCUUCUAUGUAUCUAUUUUAAUCUAAAAUAAGUAACGGAUCCUUCUAUUUCUAUCGAUCCUUCUAAUAACCAUAUAUUCAU